UGUGCCAGCAGCCGCGGUAAUACGUAGGGUGCGAGCGUUGUCCGGAAUUAUUGGGCGUAAAGAGCUUGUAGGCGGUUUGUCGCGUCUGCUGUGAAAGCCCGGGGCUUAACCCCGGGUCUGCAGUGGGUACGGGCAGGCUAGAGUGUGGUAGGGGAGACUGGAAUUCCUGGUGUAGCGGUGGAAUGCGCAGAUAUCAGGAGGAACACCGAUGGCGAAGGCAGGUCUCUGGGCCACUACUGACGCUGAGAAGCGAAAGCGUGGGGAGCGAACAGGAUU
rnacentral:rRNA from 1 species